rnacentral:rRNA from 1 species
GAUGAACGCUGGCGGCGUGCUUAAUACAUGCAAGUCGAACGGAAAGGCCCUGCUCUUGCGGGGUGCUCGUGUGGCGAACGGGUGAGUAACACGUGAGUAACCUGCCCUUGUCUUUGGGAUAACUCUAGGAAACUGGGGCUAAUACCGGAUAGGAGCUCUUGCUGCAUGGUGGGGGUUGGAAAGUUUCGGCUGUUGGGGAUGGACUCGCGGCUUAUCAGCUUGUUGGUGGGGUAGUGGCUUACCAAGGCUUCGACGGGUAGCCGGCCUGAGAGGGUGACCGGCCACAAUAGGACUGAGGGACGGCGCAGACGCCUACGUGAGGCAGCAGUGGGAAAUAUUGCGCAGUGAGCGGAAGCCUGAUACGGCGGCGCCGCGUGCGGAAAAACGUCCUACGAGUUAUGAACCGCUGUCGCCGUAAACGAAGCGAGAGUGACGGUAAUUAAUAAGGAAGCACCGGCUAACUACGUG